rnacentral:rRNA from 1 species
AAACUCAACAAUAAGCGGAGGAAAAGAAACUAACAAGGAUUCCCCUAGUAACUGCGAGUGAAGCGGGAAAAGCUCAAAUUUAAAAUCUGGCGGCUUUGGUCGUCCGAGUUGUAUCCUAGAGAAGUGUUUUCCGCGUUGGACCGUGUAUAAGUCUCUUGGAACAGAGCGUCAUAGAGGGUGAGAAUCCCGUCUUUGACACGGACUACCAAUGCUUUGUGAUACACUCUCAAAGAGUCGAGUUGUUUGGGAAUGCAGCUCAAAAUGGGUGGUAAAUUCCAUCUAAAGCUAAAUAUUGGCGAGAGACCGAUAGCGAACAAGUACCGUGAGGGAAAGAUGAAAAGCACUUUGGAAAGAGAGUUAAACAGUACGUGAAAUUGCUGAAAGGGAAACGAUUGAAGUCAGUCGCGUUAGCUAGAACUCAACCAGGCUUGCUUGGCGUAUUUUCUAGUUAACGGGCCAGCAUCAGUUUUGACCGCAGGAAAAAGGCCAGAGAAAUGUGGCACCCUCGGGUGUGUUAUAGUCUUUGGUCAUAUACUGCGAUUGGGACUGAGGUUCGCAGCACGCGCAAGCUGUGCUUAGGAUGCUGGCGUAAUGGCUUUAAACGACCCGUCUUGAAACACGGACCAAGGAGUCUAACAAACCUGCGAGUAUUUGGGUGGUAAACCCGAGUGCGCAAUGAAAGUAAAAGUUGGGAUCCCUGUCGUGGGGAGCACCGACGCCCGGACCAGACCUUCUGUGACGGAUCUGCGGUAGAGCAUGUUUGUUGGGACCCGAAAGAUGGUGAACUAUGCCUGAAUAGGGUGAAGCCAGAGGAAACUCUGGUGGAGGCUCGUAGCGAUUCUGACGUGCAAAUCGAUCGUCAAAUUUGGGUAUAGGGGCGAAAGACUAAUCGAACCAUCUAGUAGCUGGUUCUGCGGUUU